rnacentral:tRNA from 1 species
GGGGAUUUAGCUCAGCGGUAGAGCGCGUGCCUAGCAAGCGCAAGGCCCUGGGUUCGGUCCCCAGCUCUG